CUGCCAGGGAGGAUCGGAGAUACCCGCUGCGAGCCCUUGUGGGGCAAAAGUGCCGGGAGAUAGCUUGCAGACUGCACCGCAUCGGUCUUUUUGGGGGGAAGCAACAGCUGAAGAGCCUCUGCAGGGGCUUGUUGUCUUCAAACAGUAACUGAAGGGGAAAGAACUUCCGAGAACCAUGAUGUCCCUGGGUGUCAGUAAAGGACGUGUCAUUCCACCCACGGAUGAAGACCGCAGGAGGAUCAUUAAGCAGAUGAAGGUUCGCACCACCCUGAAAGGAGAUAAGAGCUGGAUCCACCACCAUAACUCAGACUCUGAGGAUGAGAAGAACACCCCACUGUAAGUGUGGCCCCUGAGGAAUGCUCCUUUUCUCUCUUCCCUUUCCAUCAUCAACCUCCCAUGUGUAUUC
rnacentral:lncRNA from 1 species